CAAUAGCGUAUAUUAAAGUUGUUGCAGUUAAAAAGCUCGUAGUUGGAUUUCUGUGAGAGUGCCGGUGUCGGCUGAUGCUUGUACGCAGGCGCUCUUACAUCCUUCUGUUAACUCAUCUUGGCAUUUUAUUGCUGGUUGAGGGCUCAGAUAUUUUACCUUGAGAAAAUUAGAGUGUUUCAGGCAGGCUUAUGCCGGAAUACAUUAGCAUGGAAUAAUGGAACAGGACCUGUGCGUCUCUCGGGGCGCCGGUCUCCGUUAUUGGUUUCGGGGACUAAUGUAAUGAUUAAUAGGGAUAGUUGGGGGCAUUAGUAUUUAAUAGUCAGAGGUGAAAUUCUCGGAUUUGUUAAAGACUAACUUAUGCGAAAGCAUUUGCCAAGGAUGUUUUCAUUAA
rnacentral:rRNA from 1 species